UACGUAGGGGGGCAAGCGUUUGUCCGGAUUUAUUGGGCGUAAAGAGCGUGUAGGCGGCUUGGUAGGUCCGCUGUGAAAACUCGAGGCUCAACCUCGAGAUGUCGGCGGAAACCACUUGGCUAGAGUCCGGAAGAGGAGAGUGGAAUUCCCGGUGUAGCGGUGAAAUGCGCAGAUAUCGGGAAGAACACCUAUGGCGAAGGCAGCUCUCUGGGACGGUACUGACGCUGAGACGCGAAAGCGUGGGGAGCGAACAGG
rnacentral:rRNA from 1 species